AGAGUUUGAUCCUGGCUCAGAACGAACUGGAGGCGGCGUGUAUUAGGACUAGCAAGUCGAACGAUAAAGUGCUCUUCGUGAGUGCGAGUACCGUGUGACGAACGGGUGAGUAACGCGUGGGAAACCUGCCCUUGAGUGGGGGACAACACUUCUAACGAGGUGCUAAUACCGCAUAACAUCUUUGGAUGGCAUCUUCCGAAGAUCAAGACGGCCUCUGAUUUAGGCUGUCGCUUAAGGAUGGUCCCGCGUCCGAUUAGCUUGUUGGUGAAGUAAUGGCUCACCAAAGCUACGAUCGGUAGCCGGGCCUGAGAGGAUGAUCAGUCACACUGGAACUGGAACACGGUCCAGACUCCUACGGGAGGCAGCAGUGAGGAAUUUUGCGCAAUGGGGGAAACCCUGACGCAGCAACGCCGCGUGAGUGAAGAAGGCCUUUGGGUCGUAAAGCUCUGUCAACUGGGAAGAAGUUACAAUUAUCCAAUAGGUGAUUGUAUUGACGGUACCAGUGGAGGAAGCGCCGGCUAACUCCGUGCCAGCAGCCGCGGUAACACGGGGGGCGCAAGCGUUAUUCGGAAUUAUUGGGCGUAAAGGGCGCGUAGGCGGUUUUGUCGGUCAGAUGUGAAAGCCCAGGGCUCAACCCUGGACGUGCAUUUGAAACAGCAAGACUUGAAUACUGGAGAGGAGAGCGGAAUUCCUGGUGUAGAGGUGAAAUUCGUAGAUAUCAGGAGGAACACCGAUGGCGAAGGCAGCUCUCUGGACAGAUAUUGACGCUGAGGCGCGAAGGCGUGGGUAGCGAACAGGAUUAGAUACCCUGGUAGUCCACGCAGUAAACGAUGUUCACUCGGUGUAUCGGAUAUUAAAAUCUGAUGUGCCCAAGCUAACGCAUUAAGUGAACCGCCUGGGGAGUACGGUCGCAAGACUAAAACUCAAAGGAAUUGACGGGGGCCCGCACAAGCGGU
rnacentral:rRNA from 1 species